rnacentral:rRNA from 1 species
GAUGAACGCUGGCGGCGUGCCUAAUACAUGCAAGUCGAGCGAACAGACGAGGAGCUUGCUUCUCUGACGUUAGCGGCGGACGGGUGAGUAACACGUGGAUAACCUACCUAUAAGACUGGGAUAACUUCGGGAAACCGGGGCUAAUACCGGAUAAUAUAUUGAACCGCAUGGUUCAAUAGUGAAAGACGGUUUUGCUGUCACUUAUAGAUGGAUCCGCGCCGCAUUAGCUAGUUGGUAAGGUAACGGCUUACCAAGGCAACGAUGCGUAGCCGACCUGAGAGGGUGAUCGGCCACACUGGAACUGAGACACGGUCCAGACUCCUACGGGAGGCAGCAGUAGGGAAUCUUCCGCAAUGGGCGAAAGCCUGACGGAGCAACGCCGCGUGAGUGAUGAAGGUCUUCGGAUCGUAAAACUCUGUUAUUAGGGAAGAACAAAUGUGUAAGUAACUAUGCACGUCUUGACGGUACCUAAUCAGAAAGCCACGGCUAACUACGUG